rnacentral:rRNA from 1 species
GACGAACGCUGGCGGCGUGCCUAACACAUGCAAGUCGAGCGGGAUCCAUCUGGUGGCAACACCGGGGAAGAUCUAGCGGCGAACGGGUGAGUAACACGUGAGAAACCUGCCCCGAACUUCGGGAUAACACGGGGAAACCCGUGCUAAUACCGAAUACCCUCUACCGGUCGCAUGGCCGGAAGCGGAAAGAUUCAUCGGUUCGGGAGGGUCUCGCGGCCUAUCAGCUAGUUGGCGGGGUAACGGCCCACCAAGGCAUCGACGGGUAGUUGGUCUGAGAGGGAGAUCAGCCACACUGGGACUGAGACACGGCCCAGACUCCUACGGGAGGCAGCAGUGGGGAAUCUUGCGCAAUGGGCGAAAGCCUGACGCAGCAACGCCGCGUGCGGGAUGAAGGCCUUCGGGUUGUAAACCGCUUUCAGCAGGGAAGAAAAUGACGGUACCUGCAGAAGAAGCCCCGGCCAACUACGUGCCAGCCGCCGCAGUAA